rnacentral:rRNA from 1 species
AAGGGCUAUCAGAUGAGCCUAGGUCGGAUUAGCUAGUUGGUGGGGUAAUGGCUCACCAAGGCGACGAUCCGUAACUGGUCUGAGAGGAUGAUCAGUCACACUGGAACUGAGACACGGUCCAGACUCCUACGGGAGGCAGCAGUGGGGAAUAUUGGACAAUGGGCGAAAGCCUGAUCCAGCCAUGCCGCGUGUGUGAAGAAGGUCUUCGGAUUGUAAAGCACUUUAAGUUGGGAGGAAGGGCAGUAAGUUAAUACCUUGCUGUUUUGACGUUACCGACAGAAUAAGCACCGGCUAACUCUGUGCCAGCAGCCGCGGUAAUACGAAGGGUGCAAGCGUUAAUCGGAAUUACUGGGCGUAAAGCGCGCGUAGGUGGUUUUGUAAGUUGGACGUGAAAGCCCCGGGCUCAACCUGGGAACUGCAUCCAAAACUGCAUGACUAGAGUACGGUAGAGGGUGGUGGAAUUUCCUGUGUAGCGGUGAAAUGCGUAGAUAUAGGAAGGAACACCAGUG